rnacentral:lncRNA from 1 species
UAUCACGCGGGUAUCAUCGAUAACAGAAACCAGAUGAUGCCAUACUUCGUCCCCAGCUGCUGGGUAGUUUGCCGGUAUGCCUGGUCUAUAUAUGUCUAUGCUGUUUAGUGGUGCACUCAGCACUCUGUCUUCCGGUAUCAACUCCUUGGGUGCCAAUACUGUGGAGGACCUCCUGGCACGACCUCUGAGAGGCUACAAGGAUGCAACUGUAACUUUUAUUGCUAAAAUCACUGUGCUGCUGUUUGGAGGUCUCACUAUUGGUCUCGCAUACCUCGCUCGCACCCUGCGUGGUCCAGUCACACAGAUAAACAAUACAGUGAUGGAGCCUGCGGUGGUCCAAUCAUUGGAGUCUUUUUUUUGGCAGGAAUGGUUCCCUGGGGAAAUAAAUAUGGCGCCAUCGGAGGUGGACUUCUUGGUAUCGCCGUCAACCUGUGGCUAACUGUUGGUUGCGAGCUGUACGGCGCCCCUACACGUGCCUUACCCCCGGGGCCGACACACAACUGCCCAAGAAAUAACAGUUACUCGUCCUCCAUUAUUUAUAACCUUACGACUGUAGAUAUCUCCAUGACAGAUGUGGUGAUGUCUACGGACACGAAUCCUAACAGUAACAUCACGAACGUCUCCCACGCACAUCGAGGUAACUCGUUCUCCAUUUAUGACAUUUCUUACCUGUGGCUCGCAGUCAUCGGGUUCUUGGUAACUUUCAUCAGCUGGAAUCAUUAUCAGUUUCAUCACAGGCCCCACAAACAAGGCUACUCUCGAUCCAAAGCUGGUAUUCCCUUUUACCCGGAAAAUGUUCCACAUGAAGGAACCUUCCCAGGAGGCCGAAGAUUCCUCUAACGUCAUAUUCUUGAAGACCUGCGAAAAUUCGGUGGACAAAUUUAUAGAAAAGACUGACACCAUGGCCACGGAAGGCAAGAUCGACAGUAUAAAACAAGAUCAUCUCAGUUGCCAACCCUUGAUAUAGCGACUGCUGGAAUUCGUCUGUGCGCCGAGAACCUUCAACAUUUUUACAUUCAUUUCUUUUCAUUGUUUCUUCAUUCAUUUUUUCAUUCUUAGAGCAUUAGAGUAGUGCCUGGGAUUAACCUUAAAACUAAAGUUUCAUAGACUGUAAGAACACCUCUGUCCUGUCAAAGGCAGCAGAUAAGUAUUAAAAUAUAUGUGUAAACAUAUUACUGGUUCACAGGACAAGUGAUGUGUAUAUCCACGCAUUUCUUUUCUGACUCAUUACGAAAGCUAAGGUUUGGAUGAGUACAACGGCGUGAGGCAGCAUAGUUAUUACUACAACAUUCAUUAAUACCUAGUAACCACUUCUUAAUAUCUAUUAAGCACUUUUUAAAUCCUCUUCAACACUCACUAAUUAUUCAUCAUAUUUAUUUCAUUAGAAGUAUUAAUACCUAUUCAGCACCAAAUCUUAUCCUGCGUGAACUGUAAUUUAGUCAGCGAAACGGAAAAAGAUAAUAUAAUUGUAAAUAAAAGAC